rnacentral:rRNA from 1 species
GAUGAACACUGGCGGCGUGCCUAAUACAUGCAAGUCGAGCGAACGGACGAGAAGCUUGCUUCUCUGAUGUUAGCGGCGGACGGGUGAGUAACACGUGGAUAACCUACCUAUAAGACUGGGAUAACUUCGGGAAACCGGAGCUAAUACCGGAUAAUAUUUUGAACCGCAUGGUUCAAAAGUGAAAGACGGUCUUGCUGUCACUUAUAGAUGGAUCCGCGCUGCAUUAGCUAGUUGGUAAGGUAACGGCUUACCAAGGCAACGAUGCAUAGCCGACCUGAGAGGGUGAUCGGCCACACUGGAACUGAGACACGGUCCAGACUCCUACGGGAGGCAGCAGUAGGGAAUCCUCCGCAAUGGGCGAAAGCCUGACGGAGCAACGCCGCGUGAGUGAUGAAGGUCUUCGGAUCGUAAAACUCUGUUAUUAGGGAAGAACAUAUGUGUAAGUAACUGUGCACAUCUUGACGGUACCUAAUCAGAAAGCCACGGCUAACUACGUG